GGCACGAGUGGACUGGCGGAGGAGAGAGGAACGUGCUCUCCUCCUGUUCUGUGGUGUCUGCUAUUCAUCACAGCCUGUCUCCCAUCAGCACAGCAGUGCAAAAGGAAAGCACAAUGGCAAACCGCGGAUGGAAGGCCGCAAAGUGGCAGCCCAGGCCAAUCCCCUUCUCCGCCCCUCUCCCCUUCUGUGGCCCAAUCCCCCUCUCCGCCCCCCUCCCCCUCUCUUUCCCAAUCCCCUUCUCAGCCCCACUCCCCCUCUCUUUUACAAUCAACUUCUCUGGCCCCCUCCCCUUCUGUGGCCCAAUCCCCCUCUCCGCCACCCUCCCCCUCUCUUUCCCAAUCCCCUUCUCAGCCCCCCUCCCCCUCUCUUUCCCAAUCCCUCUCUCAGCCCCACUCCUCCUCUCUUUCAGAAUCCACUUCUCCGGCCCACUACCCUUCUGUGGCCCAAUCCUCCUCUCCGCCACCCUCCCCCUCUCUUUACCCAAACCCCUCUCUGUCCCCCUCCCCCUCUGUAGCCCAAACCACCUCUCCGCCCACUUCCCCCUCUCUUUCCCAAUCCCUCUCUCUGCCCCCCUCCCCCUCUGUGGCCCAACCCACCUCUCCGCCCACCUCCCCCUCUCUUUCCCAAUCCCCCUCUCUGCCCCCCUCCUCCUCUGUGGCCCAGCCCACCUCUCUGCACCCCUUUGUGGCCCAACCCACCUCUCCGCCACCCUCCCCCUCUCAAUCUGACCCACCCUCUGUAACCAGAUCCUCCUUCCAUCCUCUUUCCACAAUCCAGACUCCUUCCCCCAUCCAGCCUCCUUCCCCCAUCCAGCCUCCUUCCCCACAAUCUGAAUGGGCAGCAGAGGCCCGGAGCGCCUUGAGGGAGGUGAACAAGUGGCAGAGGAGAAUGUUGCGGUUGAAGAUCCCACAAGUUUUGCGGGCAUUCUGGCCAGCAUGCGCCACAACCUUCAAGCCUUGUUAAAUAAUGUUUCACAGUUAGAAAAG